rnacentral:rRNA from 1 species
UACGUAGGGUCCGAGCGUUGUCCGGAAUUAUUGGGCGUAAAGGGCUCGUAGGCGGUUCGUCACGUCGGGAGUGAAAACUCGGAGCUUAACUCCGAGCCUGCUUCCGAUACGGGCAGACUAGAGGUAGGCAGGGGAGAGCGGAACUCCUGGUGUAGCGGUGGAAAUGCGCAGAUAUCAGGAAGAACACCGGUGGCGAAGGCGACUACCUGGCCUGUUCUUGACGCUGAGGCGCGAAAGCUAGGGGAGCAAACGGG